AGUGAACGCUGGCGGUAGGCCUAACACAUGCAAGUCGAACGGCAGCACAGUAAGAGCUUGCUCUUACGGGUGGCGAGUGGCGGACGGGUGAGGAAUACAUCGGAAUCUACUUUUUCGUGGGGGAUAACGUAGGGAAACUUACGCUAAUACCGCAUACGACCUACGGGUGAAAGCAGGGGAUCUUCGGACCUUGCGCGAUUGAAUGAGCCGAUGUCGGAUUAGCUAGUUGGCGGGGUAAAGGCCCACCAAGGCGACGAUCCGUAGCUGGUCUGAGAGGAGGAUCGGCCACACUGGAACUGAGACACGGUCCAGACUCCUACGGGAGGCGGCAGUGGGGAAUAUUGGAAAAUGGGCGCAAGCCUGAUCCAGCCAUACCGCGGGGGUGAAGAAGGCCUUCGGGUUGUAAAGGCCUUUUGUUGGGAAAGAAAAGCAGCAGGUUAAUACCCCGCUGUUCUGACGGUACCCAAAGAAUAAGCACCGGCGAACUUCGG
rnacentral:rRNA from 1 species